GAUCAUUCAGGUUUACAAAUUACAACUCAUCUCCAUUCAACUCAAUGGUUCUAACUAUGAUGAUUGGAGUGCUGCGAUGAAAAUUGAUUUUUUUCAGUCUCACUUUUCAGUUUUCCAAUAACGUGUCGGGAUUUUGGAGUGUGUUCAGCUUGUCCACCAUCUUCAAAGCUUUCAUGGCCAACAGCUAAAUCAAAAUCUGCUAGAGUUUUGGUAUCUUUUGAAAUGAACGAAGACAUUAUUAGAGAUUUGCCAUAUUUAUUGUUUCUGGCAAUGGAAAGUUUUAUCAAGACAUUAUUAUUCCUGUAGAAUUACUAGCUCCAUUAACAAUCAAUUACAAGAAUUUGUUCUUUUAAUAUUUAUGAAAUUUUAAAAUACAUAAUCAUCUUAUUGCAUUCUCUGUGCAGUAAAUUUCUGACCAAAACAUUAUCUUAGUGCUCUAUGUUGAAUAUGUAUAUGUUAAUUACUUACAAACUUACAACUCUUGAUUGGACUGGCAAAAAAUAAAAAAUUCUCAAAAAUAUAUCAAAUUCUUAUGUUUAGUAUCAAAGGGGGUAAUCUUAUCAACACAUAUGUUUGUUUGAAUGUUCAAAACUAAGAGGAACUUCCAAUUUUUUUUUAGGACCGCGAUAUGUUUCUCAGUUCUAAAUCUUUUUUUUUUGUCUUUGCUAAGUACCCAUUACAAUUUUUAAAUUUAAAUAUCAACAAUUGUGAUUUAUUUGAAAAGUCAUUUGGGUGUAUAUACAUAAAUAAAAUAGUAAUUAGGUAAAUAGUUGUUUUUCAAAAAUAUUUACAGAAUCAUGCAAGGAGGGUGUGUGAAAUUAAAUAAGACUCCACAACAACAUAGGGAGUAAUAAACAAAAAGCAGGUAAAUAUACAAUGAUGUAUACAAACUGCAAUUUUGUUUAUUGUUCAGAUUUUCCUGAUUUUCACAGUAGGAAAAUGAAAACCAUUUAGGAAAAUAUCAUUUAUCAGCAGAAAAGUAAAAUAAACCAAAAAGCUUUCACAAGUUGGGUCUCGAUACAUAGCUAAUCCAGCUUGUGAUAAUAAUAUCCAGAUAACAUAGCUAAUUGAUAUAUAUAUAUAUAUAUAUAUAUCAAUUUUAUAUAUGUACUUUGAAUGCCAAUAGAGAAAAUUAGGGUGGAUUUAAUUAGAUAUCUGGAAAAAAACCCAGUUAUUUAUCCGGGAAAUAUGCAGAGAAUUCCACGACCAAUGAAGAAGAAGGGAAACAAGAGAAAAAUAAAUAAAAAAUAGUUAUUUAUCAAUGGAGGAGCCAGCGCAUUCCACAAUCAAAUGCGGAAGAAGAAAGACGAGAGCAUUCCACAAUCAAAUGCGGAAGAAGAAAGACCAAAUAAGGAGAAAUAGGAAAAAAGAGAGAGAUACAAAGCUAGUGUAGACCCAAGGCUAAGUUGGGGUUUUAUGAGAAAGUCAGUGUUUUUCUAUAUACCUAAUUAAAUUUUUUCCUAUAGUAAUAUAGUGCAGAUACUCUUAUUUGAAAACAAACAGUUAGAUGAAAUUUGAAAUGUCAGAAAAAAAAAACAAAAUAUAAUAUAAUUGUGAUCAAAAUCAUGAUGAGUAUGCAUGGCAAAACUUACACCUAUAUGAGAACCGAAAAAUAUGACUAGAUAUUAUUAUACAUUGAGAACAGUAGCGGCCCGAACAUUUUGGAAGCUGAAAGCAACAAUUAUAUUUUGGGCCUCUAAAUGUUACUUUAAUUAAAAAAUAAAAAAUAGUGACUCUGAGAAUCGAACUUAUCACCUAAAAGAUCUAAGAAGAGUAAUCUUUCCAGUCGAGCUACUGUGACUUUUGUCACAAAAUGAAGCUGCAAUAUUCUUAUAAUAUUUAAAGGCCGGAAGCAUGUGCUUCCUUGGCUUCUUGCCAGGGUCGGCACUGAUUGAGAAUGAAACAAAAAUUAUUGCUUCAUAUGGAAUUAACAGGUUGGUAACUAUUAAAGUGUUUUAAAAUUAGUAUUCUUUUCUUCCGCAAAAAACAGCUCCAAUAAUAAAAAAUUACAAACUAAAUCUUACAACAAAACUUUUGAAUCUAUAAUGCAACCAAUCAUCACCAUAUAUAUCAUGUACUAUUUGUACUUGCUUCUUCCACUGUAAUUAACAUCAACCAACAAAUUAGAACCGGAUCUCGGAUAAUCGGGUAGAGCGAAUAAACGAAUGUAGGCCCAUGUAAGCCCAUUUGAUAAGACCGGAGUGGACAGACCAAUUCGGUUAUGUCGAGAGUUCCGCAGCUGGUAUUAGGCAACCCGGUUCGUUCCUUCUGAGGAGAAGAAGAAAGAGCUCGAGAUGGAGAUUGAUUUCCCGAGCUCGUUCAAGCAUCGUUUGCAUUCUUCUUUUACUCUCGCUGAGCUUCGCGCCAUGUGCUUUCUCCAAAUCUCUUCCCGACGUCUCCUAAAAUCUGAGUGUUAGAGGACUCAGUAUAAAGCUCCGUUGGGGAACAUGGGAGCUUGACUCUGUGGGAGAAAUCAAUUUGUAAGAUGCGGAGAUAAGGGAGAAGAAGAGAGAAUGCUAUGCUGAUAUAGAGAUGUGUGUUCCAUGGGUGUUUCAGUUGUUGAUUCAUACUAAAGGAGGAGACUUUACAAAAAAAAAAACUGAAUGUUCUUGGUAUUAUUUCCUAUAGGAUGGGAAAGGUUUUAGCUUUGGUUAAGUUCUGAGACAUAAUGAAUCACUCGUAGGAUGAGUUUUGGCUGAACUUGUUACUUUUUUAACUCCGAAGUUUCUACGAGUAGUUAGCAGAUUCUUGACACUUUAUUUUGAUUUCUGUUCUUGGCUCAUUUUUGUGGAAAACAAAAACAGUGGGUUAUGGGGUUGGCAAUGCAAGUCUUCUCCAGUAGCAAAAGAGAAUUGUGCGCUGCGUUGUCUUUCUCCCGUUUGCUAUCAACUCAUUUAUGAGAGCGAACCGCUUGAAGAAGGCGAAAAAGAUUUGGUUAGGAGCCAAGAAUACAAAUAUUGUUAUGUACAAGUCUUCGCUCCGGGAAAGCCUAGAUGGUGUUCGAGGCAGCUUUUGAUAUAAAAGCUUGUGUAAAUUGUGCAGUGACAAGAGCUUCUGUAAUUGUGUAGCACUCUGCUCUUAUCACGUUUGGAGCUUCAUUUGUUUUACAUGUGAAAUAAAAGUUCAAAUCGCAAUGUUGGAUAAAUUUAUGAAGAAGCUAUGAGAAACUUUACAUUUAAUUGAUUGGAUUUGGUUAA